GGGCCCGCACAAGCGGUGGAGUAUGUGGUUUAAUUCGAUGCAACGCGAAGAACCUUACCAGGGUUUGACAUCCUGCGAAUCUCUUGGAAACGAGAGAGUGCCUUCGGGAACGCAGUGACAGGUGGUGCAUGGCUGUCGUCAGCUCGUGUCGUGAGAUGUUGGGUUAAGUCCCGCAACGAGCGCAACCCACGUCUUUAGUUGCCAGCAUUCAGUUGGGCACUCUAGAGAGACCGCCGGUGAUAAACCGGAGGAAGGUGUGGAUGACGUCAAGUCAUCAUGCCCCUUACAUCCUGGGCUACACACGUACUACAAUGCUACGGACAAAGGGCAGCAAACUCGCGAGAGCUAGCAAAUCCCAUAAACCGUGGCUCAGUUCAGAUCGUAGGCUGCAACUCGCCUACGUGAAGGCGGAAUCGCUAGUAAUCGCAGGUC
rnacentral:rRNA from 1 species